UUUUAAAUCUAAUAAAUCAUAAAUUUAAUCUAGAUCAUAUCUAACAAAUUUAUGAUUAAAGAUAGAUGUACACAAACUAGGACAACCUUUGCACUGUAAGGGGUAAACCUUACAGCAGGACAACCUUGCAGUUUGUGAUUGAUCUAAAAUUUUAAUUUUAGAUUUAAUAAUCAGAUUAUAAAUUAUAUUUAAUCUAAAAAAUAAUCUAAGCAUGUAUAAAUAAUCAUGUAAUAAAGAAUCUGGCUCUAAUACCAAUUGUAGGAACC
rnacentral:lncRNA from 1 species